CUGGUGGGAAGGAGAUAUUAACAUUUUCCGAGAAGCCCUUUAAUUCUUCCAGAUAAACCGAACGAGUACAAGCCUCAGCAUGGAAGCACAGCUUUCUAGAAGCUGGAAAAUCAGGCUCAUCACAAAAGCUCGAGCACAGUUAAUUUCCUCUGACAUUUCCUCCUGUGGUUAGUCCUGGAGCCAGCAGGUGGCCGGAGGCGCCCAUUCUUUCCCAUAAAUGGACGGUCUCUGAGGAAUCAAGUCAGGCCCUCAUCUCCAAACCCUCAUCCCAUUUUUCCCUGGCCUGCACGUGGCCAGCUGUGCCCCGCGCCUCGUAGGCCUGUCCCUGGCUGUGCCCCGUGCCUCAUAGGCCUGUCCCCGGCUGUGCCCCGUGCCUCGCAGGCCUGUCCCCGGCUGUGCCCCCGUGCCUCACAGGCCUGUCCCUUGGGCAGAGUGGCUCCCUCUCUCCAUCAGUCCUUCCUCCAUCACACCGGUGCUCGUGCAGAAGCCGGGGCUCACAGACAUCACCCUAGGCACUGAGGAUACCAGCUGCCCGAACGGACAGACGGACAGAUGCUCAGCCUCCUCAGGUGCUGGCCCAUGGCCUCCCAGGCUGGAUGAGCAGCAGGUCCCUACGGGGGACGUGGCAAAGGGGACCCCAGCCCCAGCAGGGCCCAGCGAGCCGGUGCCCAGCACAGCACUCACCUGAGCAGCCGUCUCCACCCCGCAUUGAGCCCCUCCUGGGGACCGCCCCUUUCCAAAGACGCCCUGGUCAUCUUAGACCCCCAGACCCUCCGGAAGGCGACCGCCGUGCCUUAAAUAACUUGCGGGGGCUGAGGCAGAGCCGUGGGGAUCCUGCCAAGCUCCCCGAUUCCUUAUGUUCCUGGCAGGGGGAUCCACAUCAUCCUCACCCCAUUCCAUGUGUGGGACGGGGCACCCAAGAAUGUCUGGGGCCGAGGAAGGGGGUGGGCCUGAGGGAACCCCGACCUGCAGAAAUAAUCAUGGAAGGGGUGGAGCAGAUGCGGGGGACCCGCGUCCCCACCCUCACCCCCAGGGUCUGAGUCGACACCUGCAGCCAGCGCCUGCACUCCUGUUCACAUGGGCUUCCCUGGCCUCUGUGCCUGCUUUGCGCCUGCGCAGCAGGUGAACGACCCCAGCCCCCUUGCCUGGCGAGUGCGCCUGUCUGCCGUGGAUUCCCCAGCUGCACGGUGCCUCGGGUGCCCGCGAUGGUCCUGGCCCCCUCCCUCACGUCGGCCACCUCUCUGCUCCAGCGGUGCUUCCUGUGUGUCCUCCCAGUCAACCUCCUGCCCCUGACCCCAGUCUCCCUUCUGUCUCAGGGGCCCACAGGGAGACAGACAACCUCUGGGUGUCCGACGUCUCAUCAAGUCCUUUGAUACUCCAGGGGAGUGGGGUUGACAGUUUUCCAGGGGAGGACGGAGCUCAACAGAAGGUGUCACCUGCACAAGGUCACCAUAGGCUCUGACCCCGCAGCCAAGGAAGGCUCUGCAGGAGCCCCGGGAAUCCCAGCCACAGAACAGGAGGGAGCUGCAUGCUCUCACUCCAUGCCCCCCCUCCACCCAGCUGCAGGCCAGAGCCCUGGCUCUGCUAUUACUCACUAUUAUCUCAGAUUUG
rnacentral:lncRNA from 1 species